AUUGAACGCUGGCGGAAUGCUUUACACAUGCAAGUCGAGCGGCAGCGCGGGGCAACCUGGCGGCGAGCGGCGAACGGGUGAGUAAUACAUCGGAACGUACCCAGUCGUGGGGGAUAACACAGCGAAAGUUGUGCUAAUACCGCAUACGACCUGAGGGUGAAAGUGGGGGACCGCAAGGCCUCACGCGAUUGGAGCGGCCGAUGGCGGAUUAGCUAGUUGGUGAGGUAAAGGCUCACCAAGGCGACGAGCCGUAGCGGGUCUGAGAGGACGGCCCGCCACACUGGAACUGAGACACGGUCCAGACUCCUACGGGAGGCAGCAGUGGGGAAUUUUGGACAAUGGGGGAAACCCUGAUCCAGCCAUUCCGCGUGAGUGAAGAAGGCCUUCGGGUUGUAAAGCUCUUUCGGCAGGAACGAAACGGUCGUCGCUAACAUCGAUGGCUAACGACGGUACCUGAAGAAGAAGCACCGGCUAACUACGUGCCAGCCGCCGCCGUAA
rnacentral:rRNA from 1 species